rnacentral:lncRNA from 1 species
GCCGGAAGCACCUCCAGCCUGUGGUGAGUUCCAGCGAGGAGGGCAAUGCAGACAUCAUACAACCGGGUUUUCUCUCCUCCAUCCCUUCCAGUGGCAUUUCUGCGGCAAGAAGACUUGAGUUCCUUCUAUAUAACCCAGGUCAUCUCCCGGCCCCUUUUCUGAGAUGAAAGUGGCUGUCUCUAACCUCUGACAACGCGGCGUCCUGCCGACACGAUGUGAAUGCCAGCGGCAGCAGUGCGCUGACUUCCAGGAGGGGGCAGUGGGGCUGGGGGACAUGAGGAGGCUGUAGGUGCCAGACCGUCUGAACAAAUGAGGAGAGGAGAGGAGUUCUUUCUCCUCCUGUUCCUUUUCCUCCCUACUUCUCUCUCACCUUCCCACUUCCCUGACUCUCCUCUCUACCCUGCUACUUCCUCAGUAGGUCUACUGUGAAAUGGACUGGACAUACAUCAGGACCGGGAGAAGA